CAGUUUAUACAUGUCCACAACCAUUCUAUUACAUUAACUAUACCAACUACCAGCUGACUCUCCCAAGCUAUCUGUGCUCCUACAAACUUGGGGUUAGGGGAACGGGGUAAGCUACAAAAGCCUAGUGAGCAGAAUCAUAAAAACAGUUUAAUAAAUAAAUCAAUACUCAUAUGGAAUGCAUCACAACACAAAAUAUCACAUCAAGAUAGACUUGUCACCAGUAACCCUUUACAUAUUCCAAAUAGAGUCCGGCCCUCGACGGAGCUUGUAACGAUCCGGAAAUCGGACCGCUAUCGGCGCUAGGAUCCAGAUCGAUUUAAGGUCGCCGGGACCCGUAGCAAGCCUAACAUACAUCCUAUAAACCUGUUUAAUCCCAUACAUGAUCAUACUCAUACAUAAAAUCUGUAAACUUUUUCUUUCAUUUACCAAGCUUAACAUAUGCAUACACAUACUCAUAAACAUAAACCCCACACUGGAGGCCUCAUCAAAUGCUCCAAUGGGGUAACAUAACAUACAUUAAACUUGGUUUACAUAAACAUUAUAAAAACACUACAUAGAUCAUGUGUAAAAGGGAUUAACUAUACAUACUAGGGUCAAACACAAUACUAAACCUCAAUAUACAUCAUUACAUUACAUGACUGUUCAAUACUUUACAUUACAAUAUUCUCAUGUCCACAACUAACUGACAGUGCGGUUGUCGAAGCCGGUCAAAAAUAACCUUCUUGGUUACCUACAAUUUACAAUUGCAGAUAGUGGUGAAGGAUCGUAUCCACAGAGAAUUGAUUACCUAUUUAUUUAUCUCAAUCAAGACCAAUAGAGCUAAUUGAAAGCACAAGUGAAAGCAAGUAAUUAAAGAGAAAUAGAAACAAGUGCAAGGAAAGUAAAAAAAAAGGGGGUUUUGAGAUUGAGUGUAGUAACUAAUAAUGAGAGUAAUAAUAGAAAGUAAAUAAUUAAAAUAAAAGGGGAAAUCAAUAUGAGAAAAGCCUAGUUGAAGAUAUGGAUCCACUUUGGUUGUUUGGAUUGAUCAUUAAAACUUAGAUUAUCUUGAUUGAUUCAAUAGAUUAGUUAUGGGGGUGGAAGACGCUUCUCACCACCAUGUCUCUCCUUAUGAUUAAAUUAAUUAGGGAACGUCCUCUAAUCAAUUACUAAUUAAUAAAUUGCCAAGGAACGUCCUUGGGCCAUAGGCAUCAAACAAUUGUCAAUUGCAUAAAGAAAUAGAGAGAUCCAAUCCUAGCUACCCAAACGUAUGGAGAUAACGCUAGAUCAUGCAAUUCCUUGGUUUUUACACCAAGUGUUCUAAGGUCAGAAUAUUUCCAGUAAUUACGGACUAAAAAUAAUCCCAACUAACAAUCAAUUAACUUUACAAUUAAAAUCAAGUGGCCAAUUUGAUCAAAACAACAAAGUAAUCAUAUAAUUAAAGCAUCAAUUGCAUGAAUAUUGAACAAAACCAAAGACAAUAAUUUAUGUUCAGAUCUCACAACCCAUUAAACAACCUUAGUUUCAACCAAUCCUCAACUAGAAUUAAGAAAAUCAGCCACUCAUUGACUGAAUUGAAAACAGAAAAAUAAAAGGAAAAGAAAAGAACCGAAAAUUGGAUUCUGCCCUUUUGCGCCGAGCACUGCCGAAUUGGAGAGAUGAGAAUUGAAAUUGUCUCCUCUCUGUCACCGGUUGGCUCUUUAAAUAGAGCAGAGGAGCAAUGCU
rnacentral:lncRNA from 1 species